rnacentral:misc_RNA from 1 species
ACACUGGCGGCAUCCUCUCGAUCUCUCUGGCAUUGGCAGCGGCGCAGCGGGGGUUCUGAUUUCUGCAUUGGGCGUUAACUGAAAAAAUGGUUCUUCAAAAUGAUAUCGAUUUGCUUAACCCUCCAGCUGAAUUGGAGAAGAGGAAGCACAAGCUCAAGCGUCUCGUGCAGUCUCCUAACUCAUUCUUCAUGGAUGUGAAGUGCCAGGGAUGCUUCAAUAUAACUACUGUGUUCAGUCAUUCCCAAACUGUGGUGGUGUGUGGCAAUUGCCAGACCGUCUUGUGCCAGCCAACCGGUGGGCGUGCAAGGCUUACAGAGGGUUGCUCCUUCAGGAGAAAGGGUGAUUGAAGAUGAUA